GUUUCAUUUAUAUUUAUUAUAGAAUUUUAUUUUUUAGUUAAAAAGCUAAAAUAAUUUCAAAAGACGAGAAGACCCUAUAAAUCUUGAUUAUUUAAUAAUUUUAAAUUUAUUUAGAUUUUUUUUAUUUUUAAUUGUUAAAUAAUUUUAUUGGGGUGAUAUUAAAAUUUAAUAAACUUUUAAUUUAUAUAUUUCAUUUAUUUAUGAAUUUAUGAUCCAUUUAUAAUGAUUAAAAAAUUAAGUUACUUUAGGGAUAACAGCGUAAUUUUUUUGGAGAGUUCUUAUCGAUAAAAAAGUUUGCGACCUCGAUGUUGGAUUAAGAUUCAUAUUUAAAUGUAGAAGUUUAAAUAUAAAGUCUGUUCGACUUUUUAUUCUUACAUGAUCUGAGUUCAAACCGGUGUAAGCCAGGUUGGUUUCUAUCUUUGAAUCAUAAAAAUAUUUUAGUACGAAAGGAAUAAAUAUUUAUUUUAUAAAAAUUUAUUUAUGAAU
rnacentral:rRNA from 1 species